CGUUCCCGGGGCUUGUACACACCGCCCGUCACACCACGAAAGUGGGCAACACCCGAAGCCGGUGGCCUAACCCUUGUGGAGGGAGCCGUCGAAGGUGGGCUCGCGAUUGGGGUG
rnacentral:rRNA from 1 species